AGAGUCAUGCUCGUGAACACAUUAGGGUAUUGAUGAAUUGAGAGUAUGAAUGUCAUUCUUGAUUAAGAUGCUAUGAAUCUUAGGGGUAAAAAUUGGGGUAUGACACCUCUCAAGAGGAUGGAAUCACAAAUUCAAGAUGAUUAUCCCUUACCCACAAAAAGAGUGAGAUAGUCACGACCCGUGCAAUGAAUUAAAAAAAGCAGUGUCGCAGGAUUUACUCAAAAAAAAAAGAUGAGAUGAAAAAAAAACAAAUAAAAAGCAAAUGAAAAGCUCGCUAAGUCAA
rnacentral:lncRNA from 1 species